CUGGGAAGAGAUGCCGUGUUUUACACUGGUUUAUCGUUCUGACGUGGAUUAAAUCUACAGGUGUAAAAUGCUUUCAAAUGAGGAAACGGAGGAAAACAAUUCUUCUCCUAAAGCUACUUUGUCUGCACAAAUGGACAAGCAGGCUACAGAUAACAGCCAAAUGGAACAGGAAAGACCAGAGUCAGCUGAUUUAAGCUGUGUGUCCAUGGCGACUGAAAGAUCUAAAAUUGACCCAUUUAAUUUCAGCAACGUCUCGUCUGAAAGUAAA